AUUGAACGCUGGCGGCAGGCCUAACACAUGCAAGUCGAGCGGAUGAAGGGAGCUUGCUCCUGGAUUCAGCGGCGGACGGGUGAGUAAUGCCUAGGAAUCUGCCUGGUUGUGGGGGAUAAUGUCCGGAAACGGGCGCUAAUACCGCAUACGUCCUGAGGGAGAAAGUGGGGGAUCUUCGGACCUCACGCUAUCAGAUGAGCCUAGGUCGGAUUAGCUAGUUGGUGGGGUAAAGGCCUACCAAGGCGACGAUCCGUAACUGGUCUGAGAGGAUGAUCAGUCACACGGGAGCUUGGACACGCACCUGAGGCCUACGGGAGGGAGCAGUGGGGAAUAGUGGACAGUAGGCGAAAGCCUGGUACAGCGAGGCGGCGUGUGUGAAGAAGGUCUUCGGAUUGUAAAGCACGUUAAGUUGGGAGGAAGCGCAGUCAGUUAAUACCUUGCUGUUUUGACGGUACCAACAAAAGAAGCACCGGCUAACUUCGUG
rnacentral:rRNA from 1 species